rnacentral:piRNA from 1 species
UUCGCAGACAAAGUGACAAGGUGCUGCAAGU